CACGUAGGGUGCGAGCGUUGUCCGGAAUUAUUGGGCGUAAAGAGCUCGUAGGCGGUGUGUCGCGUCGGCCGUGAAAACCUGCAGCUUAACUGUGGGCUUGCGGUCGAUACGGGCAUCACUGGAGUUCGGCAGGGGAGACUGGAAUUCCUGGUGUAGCGGUGAAAUGCGCAGAUAUCAGGAGGAACACCCGGUGGCGAAGGCGG
rnacentral:rRNA from 1 species